rnacentral:rRNA from 1 species
GAAGGCUAUGUUGGCCGGGCGACGGUUGUCCCGGUUUAAGCGUGUAGGCUGGUUUUCCAGGCAAAUCCGGAAAAUCAAGGCUGAGGCGUGAUGACGAGGCACUACGGUGCUGAAGCAACAAAUGCCCUGCUUCCAGGAAAAGCCUCUAAGCAUCAGGUAACAUCAAAUCGUACCCCAAACCGACACAGGUGGUCAGGUAGAGAAUACCAAGGCGCUUGAGAGAACUCGGGUGAAGGAACUAGGCAAAAUGGUGCCGUAACUUCGGGAGAAGGCACGCUGAUAUGUAGGUGAAGUCCCUCGCGG